rnacentral:misc_RNA from 1 species
GAUGAAGAACGUAGCGAAAUGCGAUAAGUAAUGUGAAUUGCAGAAUUCAGUGAAUCAUCGAAUCUUUGAACGCAUCUUGCGCUCCUUGGUAUUCUGAGGAGCAUGCCUGAUUGAGUGUCAUUAAAUUCUCAACUACACUGACUUUGAAUUGGUGUGGCUUGGAUUUGGGGGGAAAAUUGUUGUGGGCUUUUUGUAUAGUCUGCUCCCCUGAAAUUGAUUAGCGGUACCUUUGUGGAACUGUCUACAGGUGUGAUAAUUAUCUACAUCUUAGACAUCUGCUGGAAUGCUGCUUUCUAAACCUUACUUGUAUUGACAAUCUUGACCUCAAAUCAGGUAGGACUACCCGCUGAACUUAAGCAUAUCAAUAAGCGGAGGA